rnacentral:rRNA from 1 species
UGGGGAAUUGUUCACAAUGGGCGCAAGCCUGAUGACGCAACGCCGCGUGGGGGAUGAAGGUCUUCGGAUCGUAAACCCCUGUCGAAUGGGACGAAAGACUCGCGAGUGAAUACUUCGCGAGAGUGACGGUACCGUUAAAGGAAGCCACGGCUAACUCUGUGCCAGCAGCCGCGGUAAUACAGAGGUGGCAAGCGUUGUUCGGAAUUACUGGGCGUAAAGGGCGCGUAGGCGGCCCUCUAAGUCAGACGUGAAAUCCCCGGCUUAACCUGGGAACUGCGUCUGAUACUGGAGGGCUUGAGUAUGGGAGAGGGAUGUAGAAUUCCAGGUGUAGCGGUGAAAUGCGUAGAUAUCUGGAGGAAUACCGGUGGCGAAGGCGGCAUCCUGGACCAUUACUGACGCUGAGGCGCGAAAGCUAGGGGAGCAAACGGGAUUAGAUACCCUUGUAGUCCCUGAGCGGGCUGGCAAGGCGCAU